UACGAAGGGGGCUAGCGUUGUUCGGAAUUACUGGGCGUAAAGCGCGCGCAGGCGGUUUUUCAAGUCAGUGGUGAAAGCCCGGAGCUCAACUCCGGAAUUGCACCCGAUACUGCCGUGCUUGAGGACUGGAGAGGAGUCUGGAAUUCACAGUGGAGCAGUGAAAUGCGUAGAUAUUGUGAGGAACACUAGUGGCGAAGGCGAGACUCUGGACAGUUCCUGACGCUGAGGCACGAAGGCCAGGGGAGCAAACGGG
rnacentral:rRNA from 1 species